rnacentral:rRNA from 1 species
GACACAUGGCAGACGGGUGAGUAACACGUGGGAAACUUACCUCUUAGUGGGGAAUAACGCUCCGAAAGGAGCGGUAAUACCGCAUGAGACCUAUCGCUGGGAUGCGAUAGAUGAAAGCUGGGGAUCGUAAGACCUAGCGCUGAGAGAGAGUCCUGCGUCUGAUUAGUUAGUUGGUGAGGUAACGGCUCACCAAGACUUCGAUCAGUAGCCGGCCUGAGAGGGCGAUCGGCCACACUGGAACUGAGACACGGUCCAGACUCCUACGGGAGGCAGCAGUGGGGAAUCUUGCGCAAUGGGCGAAAGCCUGACGCAGCAACGCCGCGUGGGUGAUGAAGGUCUUCGGAUUGUAAAACCCUGUCGUUAGGGACGAAGGCAUGAAUCCUAAUACGAUUCAUGUUUGACGGUACCUAGAAAGGAAGCCCCGGCUAACUCUGUGCCAGCAGCCGCGGUAAUACAGAGGGGGCAAGCGUUAUUCGGAAUUAUUGGGCGUAAAGGGUGCGUAGGCGGUUUUUUAAGUCAGAUGUGUAAUCCCCGAGCUCAACUUGGGAACUGCAUCUGAAACUGGAAGACUAGAGUGCUGGAGAGGAUGGUGGAAUUCCACGUGUAGCGGUGAAAUGCGUAGAGAUGUGGAGGAACACCAGUGGCGAAGGCGGCCAUCUGGACAGUAACUGACGCUGAAGCACGAAAGUGUGGGUAGCAAACAGGAUUAGAUACCCUGGUAGUCCACACCGUAAACGAUGAACACUUGGUGUAGUGGGCGUUGACCCCCACUGUGCCGUAGCUAACGCGAU